rnacentral:rRNA from 1 species
UUCCCGAAUUUAGAAGAGCUAUAUAAUUUAUUGUAAUAAAUAUUUCUAAUAUGAAAUGAGAUGUUAAUAUAUCUGGUUUUCUAAGAAAAUUUAAUUUUUUUAUAUCCUAGGGGAUGAGCUUUAGGUAGGAUUAGAAGUUUUGUUAUAAUUUAUCUAUUAGAAUGAUUUAUUUAAUUUUUAAUGUAAAAAUGAUUAAAUUAGUAUAAGGUUAAUAAAAGUAAUUCGGCAAAAAUUUUUCACCUGUUUAUUAAAAACAUGUCCUCUAGGAUAUAAUUGGAGGUCGGGCCUGCCCACUGAGGCCGCGGUAUUUUGACCGUGCGAAGGUAGCAUAAUAAUUAGUUUUUUAAUUGAAAGCUGGAAUGAAUGGUUUUAUGAAAAAAUUACUGUCUCUUAUUAAUARAACUUUAUUUUUAAGUUAAAAAGCUUAAAUUUUGUUAAAAGACGAGAAGACCCUAUAGAGUUUUAUUUUGGUUGGGGUGAUUGAAAAAUUUAAUAAACUUUUGAUUAAAAGAUAAAAUUACCUUAGGGAUAACAGCGUAAUCUUUCUUAGAGUUCAAAUCGAAAGAGGGGGUUGCGACCUCGAUGUUGGAUUAAAAUUUAUUUUGGUGUAGGAGCU